AUUUAAGUAGUUUAUUAAAAAUAUUGAUUUGUGGAGUCAAGGAAGCAGAUUUUGUCUUAGAUA
rnacentral:tRNA from 1 species